AUGGCCGACCCCUACCGUGCGCUAUGCUUCGGGAUGCGCUUCAACCCGACGGGCGAGCAGGCCAUUGCUCGGUACCUCGUGCCAUGGCUCCUCGACCAGCCGCUGCCUGACGCCGCCGGAAUCAUCAUCCAUGAAGCGGAGGUUUACAAGUCCGAGCCAAAGGAUCUCGCCGCCGUGUGGCCCCGCCUUCCCAACACCCACCACCGGUUCUUCUUCACCACCUGCAUCCGCCAGAAAGCAGGGACGGGCUUCAGGAUGAAGCGCACCGCCGGCGCCGGCAAGUGGGUCACGAGUGACAAGACGGAGGUGAAGAACAGCGCCGACGAGACGAUCGGAUACCACGAGAAACUUCGGUACGCGUACAAGGGGCAGAGCGGCAAGUCGGAGUGGCUCAUGGACGAGUACCACUGCCGCGGAUUCGACCAAUACGCCCUCCUCCAUGACGGCAAGGAGGAGCGCGUCCUGUGCAGGCUCUACGUCUCGCCCAACGCCAAGCCGGGAUCCCUCGCGCUUCAACAAUCUGCUGCCGCGGAUCACCUCAUGCCUCAUCACCGUAGCAUCUGCCGCGGCGUCCGUGGAAUUCAAGGACCCCCGCAGCAGCAGCUGCCGCGGCGUCCACAAGAACAGGUUGCUCUGCCUCCCGCAACCACGCAGACGCAGGCGCAGGCCGGGAUGAGGAAGCCAGCGCCACAAGUUGCUGACCGGCAGAGCCCCAUGGUUCCUGCGCCCAUGUGGUCCUCUGCCACUGCCAGUUCGAAGCCGGGAUACGUCGCGCGCCAACAGACUGCAACAGGAGAUCAUCUCCUUCGAGUUCAAGAACCCGCCAUCAUGGCCGCGCCGCGUCCACAAGCACGACCGCAGCAGGUGAUGACGAAGCCAGCGACGCCGCGCGGCCUUGAUCUUUCGUCGGGGCAGCAGCAAUGUCGCGUCACGGUUGCUGCGCCGAUGACCACGCAGCUGGCGCCCAAGAGGCCGGCACCUCCCAUUGCGGAGCCGCCGCACCCCAAGCGGAUGCGUGCUGCUGCUCUCGCUCCGGCUCACACACGUCCCGCGGUGAAGCCGGCGUCAGCAGCACCGCCGCCUCUCGCAGUGCCACCCAGACGACCCAUAGUGUCGUGGGAGCCGGCAAAGCGACCGUCCUGGUGUCCGCCGCAGCAGCCGAAUUUCCUGUCGGCGCCGCUGCCUCAGCGCCAGGCGACCAAGGACAAGGGAGCCGACCUUGGAUUAAUGGCAGAGGGCCAGAGCACGGUCCAGCAAGGAGGCCACAAGAGGACGAUCCAACAAAAGGCCUGCAACGAGGACACGGACGAGGUGUUGCCAGAGAAAGCGCAAGAUGUAGACGGCAAGAUGAUCCAACAAGAUGGCGAUGAGGAGGACGAGUUCGUGAGGUUCUUGGAUGGCGAGCUCGAAAUAGCGCCAGAGGAGACAGAAGACGUAGAAGGCAAGGCCGUCCAACAAGAUGGCGGUGAGGAGGACGAGCAGGAGGAGGGCGACGACGACUUCGCGAGGUUUUUGGAUGAGGAGCUUGAAAUAGCGCCAGAGGAGACGGAAGACGUACAAGGCAAGGCCAUCGAAGAAGAUGACGACGAGGAGGAGAGGUUAUGA
rnacentral:rRNA from 1 species